rnacentral:sRNA from 1 species
UUUCUUAAGAAUUAAGGGGCAGACUAUAGGCUGGAGGACUUUGAGGAUGUCCGUCUCAUAACACUUGGUUUAUAUCUGUUCUAUGGGGCUUAUUUUAAGCUCGGCAACUUGCAACAGGGUUCACUGACUUUCUCCCAAGGCCCCAGCUUCCAUAUUGGAUUCUUACCAAUGUACUGCAGAGAUAAAUUUAACUGACC